CAGUCGCCGCGGUAAUACAGAGGGUGCGAGCGUUAAUCGGAUUUACUGGGCGUAAAGCGUGCGUAGGCGGCUUCUUAAGUCGGAUGUGAAAUCCCUGAGCUUAACUUAGGAAUUGCAUUCGAUACUGGGAAGCUAGAGUAUGGGAGAGGAUGGUAGAAUUCCAGGUGUAGCGGUGAAAUGCGUAGAGAUCUGGAGGAAUACCGAUGGCGAAGGCAGCCAUCUGGCCUAAUACUGACGCUGAGGUAUGAAAGCAUGGGGAGCAAACAGGAUUAGAGACCCGCGUAGUCCCUGUCCUUAUACA
rnacentral:rRNA from 1 species